ensembl:lncRNA
GUUGGUCUUGGUGUGUGUGUGUGUGUGUGUGUGUGUGUGUGUGUUAGUAGUGUGUGUGUGUGUGUGUGUGUGUGUUGGUCUUGGUGUAUGCUAAUUGUCUAUGUUCUCUCCUUUAUGACUUCGUCAUCCUGCAGAAGUUGUAGAGGUCCAGCUGUCCAGUUUGAAAACUGAGACGGAUCGUAUCCAAGCCAAGAAGGAGAAGUUGGAGUGUGAACUGCAGGCGUGUCGCACUGAGCUUCAGGGCCUGCGGGUGGCGCUAGCUCACCUACAGGGAGAGAAGAAGAGUCUGAGUAAUGACAAGGUGUCUCUCCAGCAGCAGUGCCUGGAGUUCCGUGGUCAGAUCAUCAGCCUCCACACACAGCUGGACACCAGCCAGACCGUACAGAAGGACUUCGUGCAGCUCUCACAGUCUCUGCAGGUGAAGUUGGAGCUGAUUCGUCAGGCUCAGACUCUGGACCAAGUGAAGCAGAUCCUAGGGGAGGAGCUUAGCUCAGAGGGAGCCCCGCCCAGUGCCGGCACCUGAUCCUGAUUGGCUGGCGGUGUUUGUGGUGACUGACCCUCUAACUGUGACUCUGAUGAGCCACGCUGCCCCCCGGUGGUGAAGGAAUGACUGUGCAGCUCCUGCAGCUCCGAGACCAAAGCCACUAAUGCCAUAUACCAUUCUCAUCCAGGAUCUCUAACAUCAGUGUGUGUCUGUGUGUCUGUGUGUCUGUGUGUGGUGUGUGUGUGUGUGUGUGUUUGAAGAGAAUUUUAUAAUGGUUGAUGAACUCAUCAGGGACUUUGUCUGUCUGUGUGUGUGUGUCUGUGUGUCUGUGAGUGUGUGUUGUGUGUGUCUCUGUGUGUGUCUCUGUGUGUCUGUGUCUGUGAGUGAGUGUUGUGUGUGUUGUGUGUGUGUUGUGUGUGUCUGUGUGUGUGUCUCUGUGUGUCUCUGUGUGUGUCUGUGUGUGUGUGUGUGUGUGUGUGUGUGUGUGUGUGUGUGUGUGUGUGUCUGUCUCUGUCUAGGUGUGUGUGUGUGUGUGUGUGUGUGUGUGUUGUGUUAUUCUGGAGGUGCAUAUUUGACUCUAUCACCAGCCUGAUGUAUCUGUUCUUCCUUUCUGACAACAUUUGAUGCUUUCGCUCAGAGUGCCCCCUUACACAGUCUAAUCAUGCAUCUCACUUUCACACACACACACACACACACACACAUGCGGGCACAGACACACACAUGCACACAAACACACACACACACACACAUGCACAUGCACUGUUUUCCAAAACUGUGAAUAUUGUUGUGUCUAUAUGUAUGUUUUGCUCAUUUGGGAAUUGUAAGAACACUGUAAGUCUUAAGCCCUUGACACACACACACACACACACACACACACACACACACACACACACACACACACAGACGUUAUAUGCACAUAUUUAACUCCUCACACACUUUCCUCAUGUGAGCUAUGUAACUGACGGAGGCAUAAACCAUUGAGAUUCCUAUUUUUAUUAAAUCUCUUUAUGCUUUAAAC